AGAGUGUGAGGGACAUCUGACAGCCACGCCCCCACCCAAGUGACUCUAGACUGAUCUGGUUCACCUGGAUGGCUGAAGGAUGUCCUUCAUCCCACACUGUUCUGAGCGGAGCCCUUCAAAAGCUGAGGGCUUUUGUUAGAGGAGGCCCAGGCACACUAGUGGAAAUGAGCAGAGCACAUUGAAGCCCUAUGUGAACUGGGCUAUCAG
ensembl:misc_RNA 7SK 7SK RNA